UAAUCGUAUUACUCGACUAACUCUAUUUACCUUUAAAUUCGUUUACUCGAAUAUCUCUAUACAGUAAAUGAAAUAAAACAGUUAAAUAUGUACAGAUAUCUAGCGGUUAAUUUUUUUUUAUAUUAUGUAGGUAUAGAUUAAGCUCAUUAUGCACUAACUACUACCCUUAUAACUUCCUUUCGACCAGGGCUUCCUAAAGGCUAGAUACUUACCUUUAACCUACUUUCCCUUACAAUUUCUGUUUACAUAGGUCAUAGACACAUAAAACUUUCUAAGAAAUCUAUCAAAUUCACUUAAAUUUAGGCAAAUGUGUUAACUACAGGCAAUGAUGUCGGAGAAGUAAUAUAUAAAACCGAUGGGACAAUUCCUUUACUGCGUUACGUUACAAAUGUGGAUUUACCUAUUCCAUCGGGAACACUUGUCACUUAUGUAAAAGUGACCGUUGCUGCUAUUUCUCCGCCAAAAGUGGACUAUCUCUCCGAAACUCAUAGAGUUUCUAUUGUAUACAGUCUCACACAGUUAAGUCUUUCUGACUACACUAUAGUAGUUAAAGGAAUUAAUUCGUUCUAGAAUAUUGGUAAACCAUAUUAAAUUCUGAAGAAUA